rnacentral:rRNA from 2 species
UGCUAUACAUGCAAGUCGAGCGAACAGAUAAGGAGCUUGCUCCUUUGACGUUAGCGGCGGACGGGUGAGUAACACGUGGGUAACCUACCUAUAAGACUGGAAUAACUCCGGGAAACCGGGGCUAAUGCCGGAUAACAUAUAGAACCGCAUGGUUCUAUAGUGAAAGAUGGUUUUGCUAUCACUUAUAGAUGGACCCGCGCCGUAUUAGCUAGUUGGUAAGGUAAUGGCUUACCAAGGCGACGAUACGUAGCCGACCUGAGAGGGUGAUCGGCCACACUGGAACUGAGACACGGUCCAGACUCCUACGGGAGGCAGCAGUAGGGAAUCUUCCGCAAUGGGCGAAAGCCUGACGGAGCAACGCCGCGUGAGUGAUGAAGGGUUUCGGCUCGUAAAACUCUGUUAUUAGGGAAGAACAUAUGUGUAAGUAACUGUGCACAUCUUGACGGUACCUAAUCAGAAAGCCACGGCUAACUACGUGCCAGCAGCCGCGGUAAUACGUAGGUGGCAAGCGUUAUCCGGAAUUAUUGGGCGUAAAGCGCGCGUAGGCGGUUUCUUAAGUCUGAUGUGAAAGCCCACGGCUCAACCGUGGAGGGUCAUUGGAAACUGGGAAACUUGAGUGCAGAAGAGGAAAGUGGAAUUCCAUGUGUAGCGGUGAAAUGCGCAGAGAUAUGGAGGAACACCAGUGGCGAAGGCGACUUUCUGGUCUGUAACUGACGCUGAUGUGCGAAAGCGUGGGGAUCAAACAGGAUUAGAUACCCUGGUAGUCCACGCCGUAAACGAUGAGUGCUAAGUGUUA